GCACUUAUUCCACUGAGCCAUCUCCCUGGCCCCUAGAAAAAAUAUUUCUAAUGUGAUAGACAACCUUUGAAGGUAAAUUAGCAGCAUGACUGAUACAGCCAUUGCUGUCAGUCACCUUCAGACAAAA
rnacentral:snoRNA from 1 species